rnacentral:rRNA from 1 species
CCUACGGGGGGCAGCAGUGGGGAAUUUUGGACAAUGGGCGCAAGCCUGAUCCAGCAAUGCCGCGUGCAGGAUGAAGGCCUUCGGGUUGUAAACUGCUUUUGUACGGAGCGAAACGGCUCCCUCUAAUACAGGGGGCUAAUGACGGUACCGUAAGAAUAAGCACCGGCUAACUACGUGCCAGCAGCCGCGGUAAUACGUAGGGUGCGAGCGUUAAUCGGAAUUACUGGGCGUAAAGCGUGCGCAGGCGGUUAUAUAAGACAGAUGUGAAAUCCCCGGGCUC